rnacentral:rRNA from 1 species
UACAGAGGGUGCGAGCGUUAAUCGGAGUUACUGGGCGUAAAGGGCGCGUAGGCGGUUAUAUAAGUGAGAUGUGAAAUCCCUGGGCUUAACCUAGGACUUGCAUCUUAUACUGUAUGACUGGAGUACUGUAGAGGGUAGUGGAAUUUCCGGUGUAGCGGUGAAAUGCGUAGAGAUCGGAAGGAACACCAGUGGCGAAGGCGGCUACCUGGACAGAUACUGACGCUGAGGUGCGAAAGCGUGGGGAGCAAACAGG